rnacentral:lncRNA from 1 species
AUCAGCAAAGACCCAAGGUGAAAGCAGCCCACCAGGGAAGACCUUAUGCUUAGGAGCUCUAGCAGUAGCAACACUGUGCAGGACAC